rnacentral:rRNA from 1 species
GACGAACGCUGGCGGCGUGCUUAACACAUGCAAGUCGAACGGAAAGGCCCUGCUUGCAGGGUACUCGAGUGGCGAACGGGUGAGUAACACGUGGGUGAUCUGCCCUGCACUUCGGGAUAAGCCUGGGAAACUGGGUCUAAUACCGGAUAGGAGCCAUUUUUAGUGUGAUGGUUGGAAAGUUUUUUCGGUGUAGGAUGAGCUCGCGGCCUAUCAGCUUGUUGGUGGGGUAAUGGCCUACCAAGGCGGCGACGGGUAGCCGGCCUGAGAGGGUGGACGGCCAAAUUGGGACUGAGAGACGGCCCAGACUCCUACGGGAGGCAGCAGUGGGGAAUAUUGCACAAUGGGCGCAAGCCUGAUGCAGCGACGCCGCGUGGGGGAUGACGGCCUUCGGGUUGUAAACUCCUUUCGCUAGGGACGAAGCUUUUUGUGACGGUACCUAGAGAAGAAGCACCGGCUAACUACGUG